GAACGGCAGCGCGGGGCAACCUGGCGGCGAGUGGCGAACGGGUGAGUAAUAUAUCGGAACGUACCCUGGAGUGGGGGAUAACGUAGCGAAAGUUACGCUAAUACCGCAUACGAUCUAAGGAUGAAAGUGGGGGAUCGCAAGACCUCAUGCUCCUGGAGCGGCCGAUAUCUGAUUAGCUAGUUGGUAGGGUAAAAGCCUACCAAGGCAUCGAUCAGUAGCUGGUCUGAGAGGACGACCAGCCACACUGGAACUGAGACACGGUCCAGACUCCUACGGGAGGCAGCAGUGGGGAAUUUUGGACAAUGGGCGCAAGCCUGAUCCAGCAAUGCCGCGUGAGUGAAGAAGGCCUUCGGGUUGUAAAGCUCUUUUGUCAGGGAAGAAACGGUGGGGGCUAAUAUCUCCCACUAAUGACGGUACCUGAAGAAUAAGCACCGGCUAACUACGUGCCAGCAGCCGCGGUAAUAC
rnacentral:rRNA from 1 species